rnacentral:rRNA from 1 species
AUUGAACGCUGGCGGCAGGCUUAACACAUGCAAGUCGAGCGGAGAUGAGGUGCUUGCACCUUAUCUUAGCGGCGGACGGGUGAGUAAUGCUUAGGAAUCUGCCUAUUAGUGGGGGACAACAUUCCGAAAGGAAUGCUAAUACCGCAUACGUCCUACGGGAGAAAGCAGGGGAUCUUCGGACCUUGCGCUAAUAGAUGAGCCUAAGUCGGAUUAGCUAGUUGGUGGGGUAAAGGCCUACCAAGGCGACGAUCUGUAGCGGGUCUGAGAGGAUGAUCCGCCAGCCUGGGACUGAGAGACGGCCCAGACGCCUACGGGGGGCAGCAGUGGGGAAUAUUGGACAAUGGGGGAAACCCUGAUCCAGCAAUGCCGCGUGUGUGAAGAAGGCCUUAUGGUUGUAAAGCACUUUAAGCGAGGAGGAGGCUACUGAGACUAAUACUCUUGGAUAGUGGACGUUACUCGCAGAAUAAGCACCGGCUAACUCUGUGCCAGCAGCCGCCGUAACAC